UUAACGGAGAGUUUGAUCCUGGCUCAGGACGAACGCUGGCGGCGUGCCUAAUACAUGCAAGUCGAGCGGAGUUUCAAGAAGCUUGCUUUUUGAAACUUAGCGGCGGACGGGUGAGUAACAC
rnacentral:rRNA from 1 species